rnacentral:misc_RNA from 1 species
ACAACAUGACCUAGAAGCAUUGCACAUUCCUGAAGAUUUAACCCAAAAUCGUUCAGUGUGGAGAAAACAAAUCCAUAUAGCUGACGCCAAAUUUUUGAGAUAAAGACUUAGUUGAGUUGAGGAUCAAAAUAUUUGAGCACUACCACUGUCAGACAGAAGGACUAGUAAUCAUAUUUAAAAUGAUAGCAUGUUUUUCUAUUUUUAUUUAAUAUGUUGUUGAGCAAAAUUCUUUCUCAUCCAAUUUUUGGCAUCCAAUUUGCAAUGUGUCCUCAGGUUUAUCGAGGAAUUCUUACUG